rnacentral:lncRNA from 1 species
CAAAAUAGCACACCUUUCUCCAGACUAAGGACACUGACACUCCCAGGUUCAAGGUAUAAACAAGGUUGAAAAAAAGGAGAAACAAACUAUCAAUUCCUAUUGCCCAUGUUUCCAUCGAUAAUAAAUGACACAGGGAAACAAUCACUAACUUCUUCUGUAAACAAUCUCGAAUUCUGUUGGAUGAAAAGAGAGUAGAUGUGGAAGUUCUGAGCAUGAUGGCUGGUGAAAGGAUGAUAUAACAGACCUAGCUCUAACUGUGGAAGGAAGAUUCACUGGUGAAGCCAUAAUCAUUAUUUCAGUUAUUAGGUGUUUCAACCCCCUGCUUCAUUGUAUGUUUAUGUUUAGAAACACGAGAAACAAACAAGUAGCUCUUUGUGCUUAGCUUACACCCCCAACGCUGGUCAAGAUGGCAUUGUCCACGAAGAACACGAGAAACCUAACUUUAUGCAGGCACCUACCAAACUUGAGCACAUGAACACCUGCAAUUUAGGGCAUAUCCUGCAGAAAAUCCCUAAAUAUAAUGCUUACCCCAACCCUUCACUGCACAACUUCAGGAUUACAGAAAGGACCCUAACUACACCGACUUCUCCACCCACAAGAUUUCUGAACUCCACUCACAACAUUCCUGUAAAACUCCAGAGUAACAAAAUGCUAAAAAAUAGCAGAAAUUACAAAAGAGCCAUCACUGUUCUAAGCUACAUCCCUCCAACAAAAUCUUGGAAAGUUAGUCCUAUGUUAAGUAGAUAUCUUCCAAAAAAGGGAGAACAUGAUAUGAAAAAUGCAUUUCUUUUCUUUUCCAUCAAAAUUUGAAUCAGUUCACGGCAACCUCAAUCUACCACCAAACUAUAGACCUAAACUACCUUGAAAACAGUUAAAUAAGAGUGCCACAUACCCCAUACAGAACCUCUCUAAGUUAGAAACUCUCCCCGGGACUUCCACCUUGAGAAUCUUUAGUUUUGUACGUGUAACAUUAGUAAUCACAAACAGCUCAUCGGAAAGUUCAUUUCACGUUAAUUCAAAGGGAGCUCUGAAAUCCGCA